rnacentral:rRNA from 1 species
CCUCGGGUGGCUGCAGUGGGGAAUAUUGGACAAUGGGCGAAAGCCUGAUCCAGCCAUGCCGCGUGUGUGAAGAAGGCCUUCGGGUUGUAAAGCACUUUCAGUGGGGAAGAAAGCCUUGGGGCUAAUACCCUCGAGGAAGGACAUCACCCACAGAAGAAGCACCGGCUAACUCCGUGCCAGCAGCCGCGGUGAUACGGAGGGUGCGAGCGUUAAUCGGAAUUACUGGGCGUAAAGCGCGCGUAGGCGGUCUGAUAAGCCGGUUGUGAAAGCCCCGGGCUCAACCUGGGAACGGCAUCCGGAACUGUCAGGCUAGAGUGCAGGAGAGGAAGGUAGAAUUCCCGGUGUAGCGGUGAAAUGCGUAGAGAUCGGGAGGAAUACCAGUGGCGAAGGCGGCCUUCUGGACUGACACUGACGCUGAGGUGCGAAAGCGUGGGUAGCAAACAGGAUUAGAUACCCUGGUAGUC